AAUCCUCUUACUCCGUCUCUACUCUCAUACUCAUCUCUUCCCGUCUCAUCUUCUUUGUCGAUCGGCGGCGUUCCCAUCUCAUCUCCCUGUCCAGGUAAUUUUUUCUCAUCCUUGGCUCUCCAAUGACUUUGAUUUCUGUAUCGAAGCUUGUUCCAUUCGAAAUUGACGUGAGGAAGGAAAAGAAAAGUGAAGAAAAAGGUUGUCAAAGUGAGGGUUGCGGAGUUUGUUUGAGAGAUUGAAUAAUUGGGUUUGGAAAUUGGAAUUGUGGUGUUUUCAUCUCAUGGUAUUCUUCUGAAGGGGGUUGUUACAUUAAAAUUUUUGGUGGGAAGAGAGCAACUUUGCUCAGCUUGCUUUGUCUUUUCUCCAUUGAAGCACAACAUGGAUUCCAGGAAGAAGACAGAGCUAGCUUCACAAGAGUAGAAGAAUACGAGGGUGUAGAAAAUUAGAAGGAACGAGAUGCUAAUACCGGCUGAAUGUAGGGUUUUUAGUGAUUGGAGUUGGACUGGGUUGGGUUGGGUUUUACCAAGUUAAAUCCGGAAUUUGGAAUUUCCUUGUUUUUUCAACACACAUCUGGUCUAGUAUUUAUAUCGAUGGGUUAUCGAGUACUCAAAACCAGGUUGAUCGGGUCGGACCGGGUAAAAAUAUGAUCAAAUUCGGUCCGAUUCCUAGCUUUAGCGGUAGAGUUAAUUAGUUGAGUUGGGGGACGUCCCAUAAGAAUUAAGAUACCUUAAAUAAGGUUAAAAAUAAAUACAAAAAUUAAUGUCAUGUACAUGAUAUUUACAGACACGAUGAUAUUAUAUGAAAAGUUAUAAGAAUCAUGAUACUCACGAUUUCAUAAUCACCUAAUAUGAUUGGAAUUUGAAUUCCAUUUUGUGAUGUUGAUUACUUUGAUGUGAUGUUAGGAUUACAUAAAGAUAUAA
rnacentral:lncRNA from 1 species